rnacentral:lncRNA from 1 species
CGCCGCGUAUCCGUCCGCCAACGCCGCCGUCGCGAGCGCGGGGCGAGCCGAGGGGUUCAGGGGGGAGCGGUUUGCUUCCCUCGCUCGGGCCGAGUGGACGUGCCGCCCGCUUGCCGUCUCCCUGUCGGAACAGCACCUUCUCGCUAAAGCGAUCGGAGGUCGGGCCGGGAGGGCGGGGGACGGAGGCGGGUCAUGGGCUGAGGGGGAGGGUAGGCGAGUGGCGGAAACCCUUAAAUUCAGAGAAGCAUCGAGAACCGGAAGGAGACCUUAGGAGGAAGAGAACCAGGUUCAGUACCCAGCAUCUUCAUGGUGGUUCACAUCCAGUGGAUCUGAUGCCUUCUGGCCUCCGUGGGCAACAGGUAUGCAUGUAAGAUAGAAAUACAUAUUAAACACACACACACA